rnacentral:RNase_P_RNA from 1 species
UCAGAUGGUUGGAUGACCGCUGCCUGCAUGUCAGGGAGAGGAAAGUCCGGGCUCCACGGAAAUACGGUGCCGGUUAAUGGCCGGCGGGGGCGACCCUAGGGAAAGUGCCACAGAAAGCAAACCGCCUGAAAAUUUCAGGUAAGGGUGAAAGGGUGCGGUAAGAGCGCACCGCGCGCCUGGUAACAGGGGCGGCAUGGUAAACCCCACCGGGAGCAAAACCUAAUAGGGACGGUCGGUGCAGGCGCGAGCUGUGCACGAGCAGGUUUUCCGGGCUACCGUCCGGGUUGGUUGCUUGAGAGGUCUGGCAACAGGCUUCCUAGAUGAAUGGUCAUCCAUCGAGAAAUCGAGGACAGAACCCGGCUUACAGACCAUCUGACAUA